rnacentral:rRNA from 1 species
UACGGGGGGGGCAAGCGUUGUUCGGAAUUACUGGGCGUAAAGGGUCUGUAGGUGGCUUGCUAAGUCAGACGUGAAAUCCCUCAGCUUAACUGGGGAACUGCGUCUGAGACUGGCGAGCUUGAGGGCAGGAGAGGAACGCGGAAUUCCAGGUGUAGCGGUGAAAUGCGUAGAUAUCUGGAGGAACACCGGUGGCGAAGGCGGCGUUCUGGACUGCAUCUGACGCUGAGACGCGAAAGCGUGGGGAGCGAACAGG